AGCACUGUCUCACCCUGCUCCAUGCUAACCUGCUGAACGGCCCCUGGCCUCUUUCCGCCCCGCCCCCGCCUCCGCAAUGCGCCCCCCUUCCCUUCUGCGGUCCCCUGCCUGUCGCCCUCUCACGCUCCAGGUUGUGAGCGAGUAUCUCCCCACUUUAACACCCUACACCACACCGCGCCCGGCCACAAGACAGCUUUACAACAUACACAACCCUGACGAGGAAACGUGUUCAAAACCAAUCACUGCGCUCAUCAUAAAGAUGGCGUCUCACUCUGUAACCCAGGCUGGAGUGCAAUGGUGUGAUAUUGGCUGACUGCAACCUCCGCCUCCUGGGUUCAAGGGAUUCUCCUGCCUCAGCCUCCCAAGUAGCUGGGAUUACAGGUGCCCACCACCACACCUGGCUAAUUUUUGUAUUUUUAGUAGAGACGAGGUUUCACCAUGUUGGCCAGGCUGGUCUCGAACUCCUGACCUCAGGUGAUCCACCCGCCUUGGCCUCCCAAAGUGCUGGGAUUACAGGCGUGAGCCACCGUGCCCGGCCGGCUAACGGUUUAUGAGCACUUACCAGCCACUGUCCUAUGCCCUCUCGUUGAAUGCUCACAAUGACCCAAUGGGAUGACCCUGUCACCAUCGUCCAUCCCAUCUUUCAGAAGUGGACGCUGAGUCAUGCUGAAGUUAUAUAAUGCACUCAGCUCACAUGGCUGGUAGCACUUGAGGCAGGGAUCUGGACACAGACGGCUUGACUCCGGAGCUCCUCUCAACCACAAGCCAAUGUCAACAAGCCUCCACCAUGAAGGUCCUGAAUGAUAUGAAUAAAAUAGCAUUCGCGGCAGAGUGAUCUCCUUGGAUCUCCUGAGUGGCCCAUUUGGCAGUGGGUGAGGAACUUGGGGCUCAGUGAGAUGGAGUGACUUUGACCUGCCUGAUGUUCCACAGCCAGCAGUGUAUUUUCUCCAGGUAAAGAAAGCUUUUCGUGGUUCACUGACUGAGGAAAAUCAACCCCUCCACAAUCUAGAACCUGAAGACUGGAUCUUCUGGGAACAUCAGAAAUAGACUGCCUUUGCCAUCCACACUACAGCAAAACUCUGGGACCUUGAACUUUGGGUUCAUAAUCUCACAACCCAAAAGGUUCCCUCCACACUCCUGGAACUGUACACCCUUUGGAAACUUUAAGGUAACACUAACCAGGGAAGUGUCUCCCCAGAAGAUGACAUUCUUGAUGUGAACAGCUUUUCCCCAAGAUCAUGAAUCAAGAUUCCUCUACUAUCAGGAGACUCUCAAUCUUUCAAAUUUUUCCCCCUUGCUUAUGCCUCCAUGAGCAAUAGAGGUGAAGUCGGGGUCAGUUGUGUGUACUCAUGGGGUAUACUUUUAUUUGUGAAGGAUUUUGCAGCCAGCCUUGUACAUGGAUAACCUUAUGGUUUGACAGAUGGAAGAUGAAGGCCCAAUGUAGGUGAGAAAUUUGAAUGGUAUAUUAUGUUCCCUUAUAAUCAGUCAGAAGGACAACAUGGAUCUACUCCUGUUUACCCACCUCAUGGGUUAAAGAAAACAUUGCCAGGAGGUCUUCACUCUUCUAGAAGGGCAUCAUUUGUUA